GUCCAUCUCUGUGUCCAUAUUCAGUCAUGUGACCAUCAUCACUGCUACACUUCCACUAGAUGAAGCGCCAUCACUAAAAUUCUCACUGAAGAUUGAAGUGUGAAGCUGCAGGUUUUUCUGUCAAUCAUGAUGAUUGAUCUGCAUAUGAAGAACAGAAGCAUCAUUAUGAGAAACUCAAACACAUCAUCAUCCAUGAUCAAAGAGGUCAAAGGUCGCCUCAGAGAUCACAGCUCAUCCCAUAUAUUUCUUUAAACAGUGUUAUAUCAGAAAGCAUUUAGUCAAAUCUGAAUGAGUGAGUGUUGAGAAGAGCUGAGGAUCUUCUAAUAUCAGUGUGUUGAAGUGUUGUUUCUCUCUCUCUGCUGGAGUGUGUGUUCACUCGAGUGGAAUAGAGGUUUUUGUACGAGUGUUUCAUUAGAUUGGAUCACUGUGGUGGACAUUCGGUGGAGGAACUAAACUGGUGAUCACUGGUCCCACAGUGAAGCCCUCAGUGUCUCUGCUGCCGCCCUCUUCUCUGCAGAUCUCUGGAGACUCAGCCGCACUGCUCUGCCUGCUCAG